rnacentral:rRNA from 1 species
UACGUAGGGACCAAGCGUUGUUCGGAUUUACUGGGCGUAAAGGGCGCGUAGGCGGCGUGACAAGUCAGUUGUGAAAUCUCCGAGCUUAACUCGGAACGGUCAACUGAUACUGUUGUGCUAGAGUGCAGAAGGGGCAAUCGGAAUUCUUGGUGUAGCGGUGGAAUGCGCAGAUAUCAGGAGGAACACCGGUGGCGAAGGCGGGUCUCUGGGCCGAUACUGACACUGAGAAGCGAAAGCGUGGGGAGCGAACAGG